GAAAUGCGAUAAGUAAUGUGAAUUGCAGAAUUCAGUGAAUCAUCGAAUCUUUGAACGCACAUUGCGCUCGCCAGUAUUCUGGCGAGCAUGCCUGUUCGAGCGUCAUUUCAACCAUCAAGCUCUGCUUGCGUUGAGGAUCCGCGGCUGCCCGCGGUCCCUCAAAAACAGUGGCGGGCUCGCUAGUCACACCGAGCGUAGUAACUCUACAUCGCUAUGGUCGUGCGGCGGGUUCUUGCCGUAAAACCCCCAAUUUCUAAGGUUGACCUCGGAUCAGGUAGGAAUACCCGCUGAACUUAAGC
rnacentral:misc_RNA from 1 species